rnacentral:rRNA from 1 species
GAGACAAGAAAGAGUGGGUACGCUGACUAGAAGAUAGACGACGACGGCGCACGGCACGAAGACCUAGAUCCGCUCGUCCCGCCGUACUAGAAGAACCACCCACACCUCCUACUCCUCUUACCGUCACUCCCUUCCUUGUCGCUCCGACCUCAAGGUCUGCCACGACCGGUACCAUGGACAGGGGUUAGAUCCAACGGUUAUACGUCGGAGGAACUAAAUACCAAAAAAUUUGUGUGUAUACGUCUGGACUCCUUUUUCUCUUCUCCCACUUAGAACUACUUUUCAAACUUGUUUCACUAGAGAGGGAGAGAGAACUUGUGAUGAUAGUGCAAGUAUACAAGACGUAUUCCGAUAGAAUAAACCACACGGUCUCUCAUAAAUAUCAAUCUUAUAAUGUAAGAAGUACAGAAUAUAUUUUAGAAGAAACUUGUUACAAGAAAUUAAAGAUCUAAACAACGUCCAAGCUUCUAUAUUUAGAUUAACUAUAUAACAGCUACCCCUAAUUCAUGACAUUACUAUAUGGACUCUUAAAACUACUAUAUAGACGAUGGUCGAUGCUUCAAGUAACACACUACGGAUGUUCAAUAACCAGAAUAAAAACCACAUUUCGACGUCCGGCUCAAGUCUAACAAGAAAACUGUCUUUACCUUGUCCAUUACGAUGUCGGAUUCGUAACAUAUCAUAUUUAAGUUUCCAGUACAUUAUAAAAUGAAUCCAAGUAAGUUUAUAGACCUUAACUGUACGUAUACAAAGAACAUACACGUGUCUAACAACCAACAUAGAAUUAUACUCAAGAAAUACAACGAACGGAUUUAAGUCUUCACUUGAAAACGACAUAUAAACCAGCUACACACAGGACAUUUGGCAUUUGAAUGAUCCACAUGUACAUGUACGCAUAAACAAUGUGAUAAUAGUAUAUAUUGUGAAGGUCUAAUCUUAUAUGUCUAUAGAGGAAAAAUGUAUUUAUUAGCACUAACAAGAGUAUGUUAAACCGUAAAGUUCUUAUAGCGUCGGUGUGUUCGAUUUCCAAGUCCUUCAAAUCCCUUUCUUUUCAAGAAUAACUGUUUCUACCACCAUACCUAUUCAGGGAUAAGAGUAACAGUGACCAUGAAGUAAAAAGAAUAUAAAACUACGAAUAAAAAAGUAUACAUCCACUCAAAAUAGACCAUAGUGAAAAACUGUACCUGUACAUGGUAUACUAACAACUCAAAGUAGACUAAAGUGAAAAACUGUACCGGUAUAUGGUACCCCA